rnacentral:rRNA from 1 species
UACGUAGGUGGCAAGCGUUGUCCGGAUUUACUGGGUGUAAAGGGCGUGCAGCCGGAGAGACAAGUCAGAUGUGAAAUCCACGGGCUCAACCCGUGAACUGCAUUUGAAACUGUUUCCCUUGAGUGUCGGAGAGGUAAUCGGAAUUCCUUGUGUAGCGGUGAAAUGCGUAGAUAUAAGGAAGAACACCAGUGGCGAAGGCGGAUUACUGGACGAUAAUUGACGGUGAGGCGCGAAAGCGUGGGGAGCAAACAGG